GGGCACAUGGUGUAGUUGGUUAUCACGCUCGCUUAGCACUCAGUGACUGCGAGAGGUGUUGGGUUCAAUUCCCAAUGUGUCCA